UACGUAGGGGGCAAGCGUUGUCCGGAAUUACUGGGCGUAAAGGGUGCGCAGGCGGUUAUAUAAGACAGAUGUGAAAUCCCCGGGCUCAACCUGGGAACUGCGUUUGUGACUGUAUGACUAGAGUACGGUAGAGAGGGGUGGAAUUCCUGGUGUAGCAGUGAAAAUGCGGUAGAUAUCAGGAGGAACACCGGUGGCGAAAGGCGGGGUCUCUGGGCCCGAUACUGACGCUGAGGAGCGGAAAGCGUAGGGAGCAAACAGG
rnacentral:rRNA from 1 species